rnacentral:lncRNA from 10 species
CCCCAGCUGCUCAACGCGAUUUCCCUUCGCGCUUCUCCGCACCGGGAUCCCCAGUCCCUCAGGUUCCGACAGACCCUCCUGUCAGGCCCAUUCUCCGGGCCCCCUCAGUUGCAGUGUUAAGAUCAACAGUGUUAAGAUUAAAGCCUUGUGAUGUGCUAGCCACUACGCUGAGGAUAUGCCGUGUACUAAAAUUCCUCAGGACUCCUCACAGCUGCCCUGUAAGGAAGCGGCCAUGGCCGGGUUCUAGCGAUGCGAGGCCGAGGCUCGGGGCGCUGAGUAGCCUAGCGCGUCGCCGAGGAGAGCUGGCACGUGAACCCCUUGUCGUUUGCCGUCAGAGGUGUUAUGUGGUGGCCCUCAUUCUCCAUGCAUGGAGCAGACUCUAGGAUCUGCAGUUACUGUAUGAUGAGCCCUUCUGAGUAUUUUGCUUGGGAAGAGAAGGAAUGGCUUUGAUGAGAUUCCAAGUACAGCACAAACAUCAGGCUGACCUGCAGGUUGGGCAAGGCAGGGUCAGAAACAGCAGCGGAGCCUUGCUGGGACUCCCACUAUCAUCUAAACAACAACAUAGCAGCAGGACCUUUCACAGAGAGUUCCCAACCAUGUGAGAACCGUAAGAGCCUGUAGGGUCACACAGUCCUACCUCCUCAUGGGGCAGCUGAGGAAGGGGAAGCCAGGGAAGCUAGGGGUUGCCCAGGGAUGUGGGGGGUAUUUUGUAGUCAAAACUCUAAGACAGCAGUGGGGGUCAGGCCCCGAGUGUUGACACAUUCAUGGAGCAACAGCCACGUGUCCAGCACAGGGCUAGGCACUAAAGAUAUGUCAAACUUAAAUAAUGAGAUUUAGAAAACAUUAGUAAGUAUAUAGUUUAUUUGAGCACACAGCUUGAGAACAGCCACCCAGGGAAACAGACUCCAAAUGAAUGGGAUCAGCAUUCCAAAGUGGAGAAGUUAAAGUUUCACUCAUGUAGGCAGAGACAAAGAAGUUUCAGCUGGAUUAUGACAUUUUCCAUACGAGGCUAGUGCAUACAUCAUAGCUAUUUGAUUGAUUACAGAUUGCUACACUCCAAGGAAGAUUACUUUAUUAUUUCAUGAGGAGGGAUUAUGGUCUGAGGGGGGUUCUUAUCUCUGGCGCCAUUUGGUCUUCAUAAUUAUUUACAGGAAAAAAGGGCGGAAGUUGCAGCUGCAUGCCACAUGACUCAGGCCACAUGGCCACAUUCCUCUCAAGGCUCAGAAUAAUCUAAAGUUCCAACGGCUUUAAGUUUGAAUUAUUAAUUGCACAGAUACAAAGAGGAGCAAGACCAAGAAGAGAGAGAGAGCUGUAAAGAAAUAGCCAUAAACAAAUAACAAAUGAAAGAAUGUGACCAAGUUUUCCAACAAAG